rnacentral:rRNA from 1 species
AUGAACGCUGGCGGCGUGCCUAAUACAUGCAAGUCGAGCGAACAGACGAGGAGCUUGCUCCUCUGACGUUAGCGGCGGACGGGUGAGUAACACGUGGAUAACCUACCUAUAAGACUGGGAUAACUUCGGGAAACCGGAGCUAAUACCGGAUAAUAUAUUGAACCGCAUGGUUCAAUAGUGAAAGACGGUUUUGCUGUCACUUAUAGAUGGAUCCGCGCCGCAUUAGCUAGUUGGUAAGGUAACGGCUUACCAAGGCAACGAUGCGUAGCCGACCUGAGGGGGGGGACGGCCAACACGGGAACGGAGACCGGGCCCAGACCCCGCGGGGGGGCACAAGGGGGGAAUCUCCCGAAAGGGGGGAAGGCCGGAGGGAGCAACGCGGGGGGGGGAAUAAGGUUUUCGGGAUCGAAAACCUGUUUUAUGGGGAAAAAAAAAAGUUGAAAGAAAAUAGGCACUUUUGGAGGGUACUAAACAAAAAGCCCACGCCAAACUCCGGC